rnacentral:rRNA from 1 species
GACGAACGCUGGCGGCGUGCUUAACACAUGCAAGUCGAACGGAAAGGCCCUGCUUUUGUGGGGUGCUCGAGUGGCGAACGGGGGAGUAACACGUGAGUAACCUGCCCUUGACUUUGGGAUAACUUCAGGAAACUGGGGCUAAUACCGGAUAGGAGCUCCUUCUGCAUGGUGGGGGGUGGAAAGUUUCGGCGGUUGGGGAUGGACUCGCGGCUUAUCAGCUUGUUGGUGGGGUAGUGGCUUACCAAGGCUUUGACGGGUAGCCGGCCUGAGAGGGUGACCGGCCACAUUGGGACUGAGAUACGGCCCAGACUCCUACGGGAGGCAGCAGUGGGGAAUAUUGCACAAUGGGCGGAAGCCUGAUGCAGCAACGCCGCGUGCGGGAUGACGGCCUUCGGGUUGUAAACCGCUUUCGCCUGUGACGAAGCGUGAGUGACGGUAAUGGGCAAAGAAGCACCGGCUAACUACGUG